GAACUCAUGCCACGUGCUCUCUGGGGAUCAAGGUGGCAACAGGCUGUUCCUGCAGCCAGGCCCUCACAUUUGAAGGAGGAAACCAACAUACAGUGAUUCCUCCAGGCAACCCGCACUCUGAUGUAGAGAAAAUCCAAUCAGGUCAUUACCUGAUUGGGCACAUUGAUUUUUUCCCUCAUAGGUAUGGAUUAUCUGCCAGGCCAUGGCCUCCUUCUAAGUGCACUGCAGAGAGAAGCCAACAGAUAUUCUUUUCACACCAGAUUCAAGAAAAAACAUGAUGCAAGAAGAAAUGUCAAAAUCAAGGAUCUUAUCUAAAAAUACAAUGUUCUGACUAUAGAAAGUAAGUCAAAGCAAAUAGACCAAAAAUCAGGUUCCAAACUUAAAUAUUUCCGGAAGAGUCUCCAAAUU
rnacentral:lncRNA from 1 species